rnacentral:rRNA from 1 species
AUUGAACGCUGGCGGCAGGCCUAACACAUGCAAGUCGAGCGGAUGAAGGGAGCUUGCUCCUGGAUUCAGCGGCGGACGGGUGAGUAAUGCCUAGGAAUCUGCCUGGUAGUGGGGGAUAACGUCCGGAAACGGGCGCUAAUACCGCAUACGUCCUGAGGGAGAAAGUGGGGGAUCUUCGGACCUCACGCUAUCAGAUGAGCCUAGGUCGGAUUCGCUAGUUGGUGGGGUAAAGGCCUACCAAGGCGACGAUCCGUAACUGGUCUGAGAGGAUGGUCAGUCACACUGGAACUGAGACACGGUCCAGACUCCUACGGGAGGCAGCAGUGGGGAAUAUUGGACAAUGGGCGAAAGCCUGAUCCAGCCAUGCCGCGUGUGUGAAGAAGGUCUUCGGAUUGUAAAGCACUUUAAGUUGGGAGGAAGGGCAGUAAGUUAAUACCUUGCUGUUUUGACGUUACCAACAGAAUAAGCACCGGCUAACUUCGUG